rnacentral:rRNA from 1 species
CCGGAUCUCAGAUCAAGCAAGAUG